rnacentral:rRNA from 1 species
AGUGGAAAACGAUGUGAAGAUACGCAGACAACCAGGAUGUUGGCUCAGAAGCAGCCACUCAUUCAAAGAGUGCGUAAUAGCUCACUGGUCGAGCGUCUUUGCGCGGAGAAUUUAACGGGGCUAAACCUGGCACCGAAGCUUAGGCAAUGUAGCAAUACAUUGGGUAGGGGAGCGUUGUAUACGCGGUGAAACAGUAGCGCAAGCGGCUGUGGAGUGUAUAGAAGUGAGAAUGCCGGAAUGAGUAGCGCGAAUGCAGUGAGAAUCUGCAUGGCCGAAAGCCUCAGGUUUUUGGAGGAAGGUUCGUCCGCUCCAAGUUAGUCGGGAGCUAAGGUGAGGCCGAAAGGCGUAGCCGAUGCACAGACGGUAGAGAUUCCGUCCCCACCGAAAGAUUUAAGCGCAGGGACACUUUUAGAAGGUCGGAGCCAGGUGUUGGUUCUGGUAGAGAUCGAGGGAAAUUUAGUACCGAAGUCCGGCUGGAUAAGAGGCGAGAAAAGCUGCGUGUAUAUCUAAGGUGCCCGUACCGCAAACC